UUCAUCCGAUGUCCAUUUUCGUCUGUCUUUUUAUUGUUACGCUACUAAUAAUGAGAUCUUCAAUUCUCGUUUAGGUUGUGUCGGCUAAAAAUCGCUCGAUCUAAUAUUCGAAUUUCGGACUGUACACUGCUAAUCCGAAACUUCGAAAAAUCGUAACUUCUUCAUACGAAGUCAGAUUUGGGCGUUCUUUUUAUCGAAGUUCUUAGUUUAACAUAUUCUACGACUUUCGUUUAGAGCGCUAAAUCUAAAUCUCGCUCUAUCAUAAAUUUACUAUUUACGCUUCCCGGCGCCGUGCCGGUUCCGACGCGAAACUUCGACGGGUCAUAACUUCUUUGUUAUAACUCGGAUUUCGGCGUUCUUUAUAUGUACGGAAACCCUGUGACAUAUUCUACAACUAGGUUAAGAUUAUUUAUUCUAAAUAAUCUUUUUGUCGAAAAGUCGUUUUCGACCCCUAUUGCCUCUAAAUUGACUAGCCCGGAUCUGCGGGCGUUACAAGUCACCCCAUAUAGAUAUAUACACAAACUAUCGCCCUCCCUCUAGAAGACUCUGAGUAUAAAUACAGGCUACGGCCGACAGUUAUUGGUGCCAACCGAUAAUUCUCACUAAAUCCCUAUUAUUACCCCCAUGAAUUUGAAUAACAUUGAUUUCAACCCGUUUGAUGUUUACAUGAAUAUGAAUAAAGCCUAACAAACACGAAAAACGACAACUGUGGCCCACUAAUCAUGUAUGUUAUUACAGACUGUCGAGUAUGCGACGGACACGUUAUCCCAUUUAGCAUAUAAUUGAUUUGGACCAUACUAGCAAUGCCAAUGGGCCACUAAGGCCCAAUACCAUUUAAAGCCAUUGAGAGUCCAUUAGGCAUGAAAUCGGGCCACUAAGGCCCAAUACCAUUUAAAGCUAUUGAGGGUCCAUUAGGCAUGAAAUUGGGCCACUGGAAGCCUAAUAAACUUGUAUUAUUUAUGUUGGGCCCAAUAGUCAUGUUAAUGGGUCACGAAGACCCAAUAAGCAUGAUUAGAAGUAUUAAAGUCCAACCGAUAUAAUGUUUACUUGUUUUGUAUAGUAUUAGUGUCGUAAGGUUUGUUUCACAUGAAUUGUUUAAUCGAAAAGUCACCACGUUCUCCAAAUUGUUUUAUAAUGAUAUUUGGAUUUAUAUAUAAAAAAUAAUAUAUAUUUUUCUAUUUAAAUCCAUAAGUUAUUAAAAUUAUGUAUUUUUGAACCAAUUAUUUUAAUAUUAACAUAAUUGGCCCAGAAAUAACUGUUUGACCAUUUCAGCCCCAUUUCUAGUAAAAAUGACAAAUUUUUACCCCUUUUUUUUUAUGAAAAAUGACAUUUUAGGUCCUUAGAUUAUGUUUCUUGACAUUUUCGGCCCAAACACUCAUUUAAAUCAUGAUUUCAGCCCAAAAUAAGGUUUUGGACAGUUUCAGCCCUUUAAUUAAAAAGAUUUACACUUGUAGUCCAAAUUUUUGCAAUUUUUACAAUUUUAGCCCAAAAUCCAAAAACUUUGCAUUUUUAGUCCUAUUUGGUAUUAAAGACAUUUCCAGCCUUUGAAAUUUGUUUAUUUAUAUUUUUUACUCAUAUUUUGAUAAACUUGCAAUUUCAGUCCCUUAAGUUUCAUAUUUUUUGCAAAUUGGGCCUAAAAGCCGAAAAGCCCAAACUUUAGCCCAUUAGGCUAAAAUUUACACUUUUAGUCAUUUAAAAAUCAUGAUUUUCAUAAUAACUCAUAUUUUAAGUGAUUUGACCCUUUUGAGUCUUAUAAAUACCGUAAAUGACAUCAUUUCCUCCAUCUUUUGCUUAUUUGUCAAAAAUGGUUCGUAAAUAGAAUUUUGUGUUUUGUUUUACUUAGUUUCAACUUGUAUAAUACUUUUGCCUUGAUAAUAAUAUGUAUAUGAUAUCUUAGGUCACAUAUUUCCUUAACAAGGUUAUGAAUCUCGAAUAGAUUAAGUUCCUAACACAUAUUCAUCAAAUAAAUUCAAGAAAUCACACAUAUCAUACAAAAACACAUGGAUCUACACAUUUUACUUGUAUUCUCCCCCAUAAAUCAUGUAAAAACCAAAAACAAGGGGUAUGAACUCACCUUGGGUUUGUUCUUUCGAUUUUUAAGGAAGAAAUGGAGGGAUCUUGGCCUUUAGCAAGCUUUCUUGAACGGAUUCGAACUCAAGAAGUUCUUGGUGGCUAAAUCACGAAAUUUAGGUGGUAAGAGGAGUGAAUGAAUGUAGAAAGAAAAUGUGUUACAUAAGUUUGUGAGAUCUUACCACUAGAAUGAAAUUUAAAGUGAUUUUUGGAUGAAAAAUUCCUUGGAAUGCUUCUAAUUCUCGAAAAUUAGGAUGAAAGGAAGGAGAGUAUUCUUGAAUGUUUGAAGAAUAUUUUUGAGAGAAUGUGGGUGGUGUGGGUGUGUGGUCUCGACCAAGAAGAAGAAAAAGGGAGAGGGAAGGAAAAUUGCAUGGAAACUUGAGACUAUGCAUUGUUAUAUGUUAAACAAUGCUUAAUUAUCCAUUAAACAAUGUUGAGGUGUCUAACUCUCAUUUAUCCUCCAUAAACUUCUUUUUUUAUCUAUAUGGCCGAGAAUGGGCAUAAAGACAUGAAGAGAGUGAUGUUGGGCCCAACUUUUGAUUUGACUGAAUUUUCAUAAGUCCAAUAUUAUUAUUCGGCCCAUUGGGCUCCUUAAAUAAUUCACGGCGUAAUUAAAAGGAUAGAAUGGGUUUCACGACCCAUUGAAGUUUAUUAGGUUUGUUAUGGCCCAAUAAGGCCCAUUAAGGUAAACCUAUUCAUUUUGGAUCCAUUAUGGCCCAAAAUGUUAAGUUUCAUGAGAGUGGGUCCAAUUAGGGCCCAUUUAAGGGUCCUAAGCCCAAAACAGUCAAAUUGGAAGCUUAUUGGUCCAUUAGACCCAAUAAGGAAAUCCUAGUCCAUAAUGGACUUAAACCGGGAUUGUUAGGGUUUUCAAUCUUUUGUUGACCAUUUGAAGUGUUUGUAUAGAGUGUUUGAUGGAAUUUUGUUGUUAUUGAAUAAACAUCAUGCGUACUUUCAAGUUUUAGUCACAAAUGGUACUCUUGUUAUUGUUUACAAAAAUCUUAGAAUUCCUAGCUAUGACAUCAUCCCCCCGUUAGAAGGAAUUUCAUCUCGAAAUUAUUUUUGAAGCUAGAUUUGAGAAUGCAAGAAUAGAUGAGGGUACCUUUGCUUCAUCUGGUCUUCGCAUUCCUAUGUGAAUUCUGGUCCACGUUUUGCGUUCCACCGAACUUUCACAAUUGGAAUGCGACUUUUCUUAGUACGCUUCACUUCCCUGUCUAUGAUUUCAACUGGUUCCUCGAUGAACAGGAGAUUCUCAUUGAUUUUGAUUUCUUCCAAUAGGAUGACGAGAGUUUCGUCGGAUAAACACUUCUUCAAAUUGGAAACAUGGAACACGGGGUGUACACUGUUGAGCUUGGCAGGUAGUUGCAGUCUAUAAGCCACUGGACCGAUUCAGGCAGGAAUCUCGAAUGGUCCAAUGUACUAUAGGUUUAGUUUUCCCCAUUUCCCAAAACGAAUCACCCCCUUUCAGGGAGAGACUUUUAACAACACUUGAUCCCCGACUCGAAAUUCCAAGGGCUUUCGUUGUCUAUCAGCGUAGCUCUUCUGUCGGUCUCGUGAUGCUUGAAGUCAAGAUCUGAUUUGAACUAUCUUCUUUAUUGUUUCGCGUGUAAUUUAUGGUCAUGUUAAUGCAUUGUUUGGUGUCUGUCCUCUUGCUAGCUAAGUGCCACCUACCUCAGUCCAACACAACGGUGAUCUACAUUUACGCCCAUUUAAUGCUUCAAAAGGAGCAACUUUUAUGCUUGAGUGAUAACUGUUGUUGUACGAAAACUCAAUUAAAGGCAAGUGGGUAUCCCACGACCUUCCAAAGUAUAUCACACAUGCUCGAAGCAUAUCUUCAAGCGUUUGAAUAGUUCGCUCACUUUGACCAUCCGUUUGUGGGUGGUAAGCAGUGCUCAUGUUGAGUUGUGUUCCCAUAGCUUUCUGAAGCGAUUGCCAAAAGCGUGAAGUAAAUCUACUAUCUCAAUCUGAGAUGAUAGAUAUUGGUACUCCAUGGAGUCUUACGAUUUCCUUGAUGUAGAUUCUCGUCAAUCGUUCCAUCUUGUAUGAUUCCUUUAUUGGCAGGAAAUUAGCGGAUUUUGUCAACCUGUCGACUAUUACCCAUAUGGUAUCUAAUCCAUUUGUUGCCUUGGGUAAUUUGGUCACAAAGUCCAUAAUAAUCCUUGGACCCCGCUAGGGGCGCUGCCCCUAGACCCCGCCCCUUUGGAAACCCCGGACUGAGGGACGCUGCCCCCGAACCUCCGACAUGUAGUUGAACCAACUUCUAAUUUGAUCUUAUACAUGCGUGCACUCCGCACGAACCCGUACAUAUAUUAGAGUACAAAUUAUGAAGCCCCUUAGCUCACAUGUCAGUUCCAGUUACAUAAAACGACAUGGUGACAUUAAAAUCACCAACAAUUCACACAAAUCAAUAUUUUAAAACCAUUUCUAGGAAGAAUCAAUGAAAUACAUUUCAGAACAGGGACUUCCAGAUCUUAUCCCAAAUGUUAAACCACACAUCACGAUUGGAAUUGCAAACAAGAAAACCCUUUUGUGCGACAGAGAAAGAGACAACCUUGCAGGUAGAUAGAAUAGUCGAAGGAGAAGGAAGAAAGAGGCAAUAGGGGUCGAAAACGACCUUUCGAGAAAAGAUUAUUUAUAAUAAAUGAUCUUAACCAAGUUGUAGAAUAUGUCACAAGGUUUCCGUACAUAUAAAGAACGCCGAAAUCCGAGUUAUAACGAAGAAGUUAUGACCCGUCGAAGUUUCGCGACGGUACCGGCACGACACCGGGAAGCGUAAAUAGUGAAUUUAUGAUAGAGCGAGAUUUUGCCUUAGCGAUCCAAACAAAAGUCGUAUAACAUGUUAAACUAAGAACAUCGAUAGAAAGAACGCCCAAAUCUGACUUCGUAUGAAGAAGUUAUGAUUUAUCGAAGUUUCGGGUUAGCAGUGUACAGCCUGAAAUUCGAAUAUUAGAUCGAGCGAUUUUUAGCCGACACGACCUAAACAAGAAUCGAAGAUCUCGUUAAGAGUAGCGUAACGAGAAAAAGAUGGGCGAAAACGGACGUCGGAUGAAGCAGUUAUGAGAAUUUAACGGACCUAUCCUGUCCCGACCUGUUAAUAAUAUAAAAUUUAAAAUCGAGCCAAAAUUAGCCGACGAAGUCUAAACGAAAGUUGUAGAGUACGUUCCUGCCUUCGUGUGGAUAUAAAGAACGUCGAAAAUGAAGCUCGUAUGCGAAAGAUAUGAUUUUUAGAAGUCGUAGUAGAAAAUCACGAAUCUGGUGCGAAGCUGAUGACGUGGCGGCAUCUGGACCGUCGCUUGCUGAUCACGCCUCGCUUCGGAUUUGCGACACGUCGCACUUCGCUACGCCCAGCGUCCGAGAUUAGUACGCCGAGCGUACCUUCGCUUCUAUCCGACCGGUGUGCGAGACAGCUGGAACCGAGGUGGCAUGCUUAUCCGAGCACUACGCCCAGCGUAGCCAAGGACUACGCCCAGCGUAAUCCGAGGCCUCGCUGGGUAUAAAAGGAGGACGAGGGUUCCGCAUUUUCCACACCUUUCUUCACUCUCUCUCUAACUUCUUUCUUUCUCUAAGUGUUCUAAACAAUUCUAAACCCUAGGGAACCUCCCUAGCACCCAAGGGAAACCCCGAGGCUCCCGGAGUCCCGAGAAAAAGAGCCUUUCGGUUUCGAAACGCUGCUCCAGUUAAGUUCCGAUUUUCAAUAAAAUUCGAUGUAAGUGUGCUGCGCUUACGCAAUUUUUAAUAUAGCUUUCAAAUAAUUAUAGGAAUGUUAUUAGGUCCUUAAAAUAAUUAUUUGGGCUAUUAUUAUGAGUUAUAUUGAGUGUUAUUAACGCUUAAUAAUAGUCAGACUAAUUAAUUUGUCGCGGUUAUCGUUAGACUAAACCCUAGUGGUAUUGGUACUAGGUUUUAUCGAAGGAAAAUCGUUUUGAGAGUAUCGAAGCGCUGUCCGAGUGCUGAGUCAUCACCUUUCAGGUGAGUGCAUAGUCCCUUUCAUCUUACACAUAGAUAUGAAGUAUUUUAUAUAAACUACGUGCUAUGUGUGCAUAUUAUCUGAAUACUUGUUGUCUAUGCUGGAUGAACGUUUUAUACAUGUUUUAAAGGAUUUAAACUGUAUACGUAUUUUAUAUAUACGAAUAUGUUGGGUAUGAGAUGGGUAGAUGAAUGAUGAGAGAUAGAAGAUGAUGUGAGUAUACAUUGGCAGCUAUAGACUUAGUGCCUAUGGGACAAACACCGGUAGCUAUGGACUUAGUACCUGUUAGACGUUGGUAGCUAUGGAUUUAGUACCUAUUAGGAAUUGGUAGCUAUGGACUUAGUACCUAUUAGUUAGACGCUGGUAGCUAUGGAUUUAGUACCUGUUAGGAAUUGGUAGCUAUGGACUUAGUACCUAUUAGAUAAACACUGGUAGCUAUGGAUUUAGUACCCGAUGAAUAGACUAUAGCAGCUAUGGAAUUAGUGCUUUAUGAACGAACAUUGGCAGCUAUGGAUUUAGUGCCAGUCCUAUAACCCUGGAAGUAAGGGACUUCGGAAUAAACGAAUGCAGGAUAGAUGACUCUUAGGUUAAAUCCUUAAGAGUAAAGAAGAUAAUGGGGAAUGGGUAAUUGGGCUGAUUGUUUGAUUGUUUAAACAUAAUAAUUAUAUUAUUGUGGGUUGAAAACCCUAUGUACUCACCAGGUUUCCCAACCUGACCCACUCAGUUUAUUUAUAUCACAGGUGUUGAUACGAAGUCACAUUACACUGAGAGAUUAAAGAGAUGUAGAUCACUAGUGUAAAUAAAUGUAAGUUCCGUUUAUGCUUAUGUUCCUAUACUGACAAUGACAUCCCAAAAGUUUUAAAAUGAAUAAAAUACGUUUCUUCGAAAAUGUUUUGAUAACGUAUUUAUCGUAUUUUUCUGGGAACAAAUUCCGCAACAUUUUUAUGAAAAGAAGUACUCUGAUUUUAUAAAGCAUAAACAAAAUCGGUCUUUUCUGGCCGUGAAAAUUGGGGAUGUCACAGUAAAACCGUAAAGAAAACGAUUGAAAAACAAUGUUAUCGUAUAAAUCAUUAUGUCUUGGCUUAUUGGUGUCAAAGAGGCAAGCAUUCUGAUAAAUUUAUAUGACCCAAAAAACUGUAAGAAAAACAUCAUCAAUAAUUAUAUUUGUUCAUUCUUUAGUCGAGUUUGAUCCACCCACAUAAACCAUCCAUUAGCUGUAGUAAAGUUUGGUUAUUGGAUUUCUUAUUAGAUGCUAACUUUACACCAUAGUUGUCAUGCUAAAGAUCAAGAAACAAAUAUAUGUUCAAUAGAAUCAAUAUCUUCAUCUUAUAGCAUAACAAUCACACAUAAUAAAGUUCGGGCACAAUGAUAUAUCAUUUGAAUUAGCUAGUCUGUAACCAGUGUAGGCUAAUUCUUCAUCCUAACCCAAGGUAUUGAGUUUAAUAUAUACUUGUCCCACCUUAUAGUAGAUGGGUUUUGAGCAUAACAAACAAUCCCUAUGUGUGCAUGCAACCCUAAUAUUCUUGGAUCUAUGUUUUCUCUAAUUGAACAUACAAGUAUUGAACAUCAAAAGGAAAACCCUAUGAGGCAUAUACUGUUUUCGAAAAUCACAACAAGAGAUAGUAAUCAUACCUUUAAUUGUUAUGUAGUAAUAACAAUUCGAAUCCAAUAUCUCUUGAAACUUGAGAGCAAGUGUCACAAGUGUAACACCUCUAAUGGCUCACACUCACACUAAGCAAAAGGAUGAGAGAGGAUAGAGGAGGAGAAGGCUUGACAAAUUCGGCUAUUCUUCUAGGGUUAAGAGUGGUCGAAAUUAUGAAGGGGUAUAGCCCUUUAUAUAACUAAGGUAGCUUAGAGCUAAAGUUAGGGUUUUAAGGAUGAAACCUUAAUUCCUUAGCUUAAGGCCUAAGCAGCCCAAGAACUUCCAUCCAAUAGGCCUUGGACGAAAAUUCUAGGUCCUUCCUAGAAGUUUUCGUCCAACCCUUAUAGGAGGGUUCUAGAGCUCAAUUUCUCAACUAUCAAUAAAUUGCCAAACAGCCAUGUACUUUUAAUUAAUACAAUUAAUCAUAAAAUUAAUUCCAAUUAAUUUUUGAUUAACUAUUAAUUAAAUAAUAUGAUUUCUAAUUAGUAUAUUAUUUUCAUAAUGAAUUAAUAAAUCAUUUAUUUCAAUUUAUUAAUCAAAUAAUAAAUUCAACAUCUUUCUCCAAAAGUCAUCAUGUUCAAUUGCUAGUAUAAGGACAACCCAAAAGGACUGUGUUACUAUCAAUUUAAGUACAUAUCAAUUAUAAUUAUGGACUUAGACACUUAAUUCAACAAUAAUAGCAUCUCAAGUAAUGAUGAUUCCAUAAGCAUAGCCAUUUUGUGACAUAUAGAACCCAUUACGAUUGGUUAAAAAUCAUAUAAAGAAAAUUGGUUGAAUCAGACAAAAUUAUCACAUUGAUCAAAAUAUAAAGAAAAUUGGUUGAAUUAGACAAAAUUAUCACAUUUGAUCAAAAUAAAAACUUAUUGCUACAUCAUGAAGUAAUGUUUUCGGACACUCAGGUUUGUUUAGAGGUUCACAACGACAUUUUCUACAUUUAAAAAAAAAUGUUUCUUUGCAUUCAGGAUUGUUUAACACGGUUUUAACCAAAAGCAAUUUCAAUCCACUCAAAAUUAUACUAACAAUCGGUUCGGUUUGAAACUGAAUUGAUUUCUAUCAAACCGGCUUUUCCAUAAACCAGUCUGGUUCGACUUCCUCGUUUUUCUUCAAAUGGGUUUGUUUGUACACUGCUAGUUUCAAGUAUAUUUUACAAGACGAAGACGAAAAAUCAAUUUUAUAGAAUUCCCCCAAUAUCGGGCUGGUCCAAUAAAAACAUCGGCCCAGUCAAAGACUACUGGUCACUGAGUCCAAACCACAAGAAAUGUUUCUUCUACUGAGAGUAUCUGAUACAAAACCGGCCUAGCCCAAUCAGGCCCAAUCAGACCAACCCAUGUGUUCAAUUCAUUUCAAUUCUCAGCUGCUUAGCACUCCUAUAUAACUCAUAUCCUCCUUAACGAAUGAAGGUUUUUUUGUCACUUGUCAAUUUCUCAUAAGUUUUGACACUUGUCAUUUUGUGGUAAUUUUGAAAUAAAUAUUAUCCACUUAUCAAUUUUUGGUUUGUUUUAAUUUAAAACUAAAGUCAUAUACUUAUAAAUGUAAAGUAUUAUAUAUNAAAUAGAAAACAAAAGGUAAAAAGAUAAAAAAAAAAUCAAAUUGUUGAUAAAAAAGUUAAAAAAGGAAAAUAAAUAAAGUAUAUAAAAAAAGAAAAUAAAAAAUGUAUAUAUAUUUAUUAAAAAACUGAAAAUAAAGAAAGUAUACAAAAAACGAAAAUAAAGUUAAAAAACCAUGUGGUGUAUUUUUUUGCAAACUCCAGGGACCAAAUUUGAACUUUUUAGGACUGAUUUUGUAAAAAAGUUAACCAAGUGAACCAUAAAACUCGUUAAGUAGGCUAGAGUAAUAAUUCUGCGAGAAAGUUGUGACCAUAGCAAUAAUAAUGAAAAAUAGUAGGGCUUUUUCCAAUUACGCGUUAAAAAUUUAGGGUUUUUUUAAUAUUAGUCCUAAUUCUGAUUAAUAAUUAAUUAAUUCUUAUUAAUUACUUAUUAAUUUAUUAACCAUAUAAAUUAACAAGUCAUUUAUUUAACCAUUGAUGUCAUAUUAAUUUAUUAACCACAUAAUAAAUCAACAAAUCAAAUAUCUAUUUCUAUCUAAUAUAUUUAUCACAUAAUAUAUUAACAAACCAGAUUUCCAUAAUUUCCAAUUAGUUUAUUAAUCAUAUAUAUAUAUAUAUAUAUAUAUAUAUAAUAUUAAAUUAUAAUAAAUACGUUUCUUUCUUUCUUAUUUUAAAGUUGUACAUUAAAAAAUAUUUCAUUUUUAUACUUUAAGUUUAAUCAUUUUUUAAAUCAACCCGUAUAAUAUACAUGUCUCACAUCUAGUUCUACAUAAACAGGGCAAAUCUCUUUGUUUUUUUUUUAAAGACAAGUCGACCCAUAAAUAGUUGUAAUAAGAUCAAUAUUAUUUAUCAUGGUAAUGGAAUCUUAACUUCCCAAAUGCAUUGAUUAUAUGAAAACGUUCAUUAAAUCUACAAUUUUUUUUAGGGGUAGGCAAACCCAUGUCAUAACAUGAUUUGAGCUAAUUAAUUGAAUUUCUUCAAGUUUAAAUCUAAACACCAAGCUAAACUUACAAUGACUCAAUUUGGAUUCUUCUUGCGCUUUCAUGUCGCACUUGUUGCUUAGGUAUCUCAACUAGUCAACUCAACACCAAAUUUCAGUUUUACAUGAAAUUUAAAUGUAAAAUUGCUCAAAUUCAUCGCCAUUUUUACACUGUUUCGAAAUAACAUAACACCAAAUUUAUUGUUACUUACAAAUUGUUUAUUCAACUUUGAACUUCAUACAUUUUAAGAUGAUCAAACUGAUGUUAUUCCAUAACCAUUAAGGUGUCCUUAUUGGAAUAUUAGGAAUAGAUAUGCAUUAAGAAAAUAAUAUUUCUUUACCUUAAUUCAAGAUCAGAAACAAGUUUUAAUUUCACUUAAUCAGUUAUUACUAACAACAAAAACUAACAUUCCGCAUCAUAAAAACACAUUUGAUUCUAGACAACAAAGUUUCAAAACCUACUACCACAAACAAUUCAAAAUCCAGAUAAUAAACAAGAACCAACAUAAUCAGAAAAACAUACCAAACUCAAUAAAGAUCACCUUCUUUGUGGGUAUGAAUCACACAAUCAGAAGUAGGGUAAGAAAUGCAAGUCAACAAGUAUCCCUCUUUCAUUUGAUUAUCAUCAAGAAAAGACCCAUCAGACUGGUCAACACAUCCAGUAGCCAUCUUUCCAGCACAGGUUGAACACGCUCCAGCUCUGCAAGAAUAUGGCAGCUCAAUUCCAGCGUUUUCAGCUGAAUCAAGAAUGUAACAAUCAUCAGGUGCUUCAAAUUCAUUCUCUUCUCCAUCUGGUCCAACUAGCUUGACUUUGUAUGUCGCCAUGGCUGUCGUCCUGAAAGACGACCCUGAUUUCAAGCCAAAAGCUUUUGAGAUGCUCUUGAUUGAUGGAAGAGUGGAGGGGGAUUUUAGGAAAGCGCUGGGGGUGGUGGAGGUUUUGCGUGUGGUUAUGAUGGUGGUUGGGGUAGUAAGUCUGAUGGCCGACAUUUUGUGACCUGAAAAACAUUCGAAACUUAGGGCUUCAAUUCGCUAUGUAAAUGAUAACAAUUGAAUGUAUCAAAGACAUGAUCUAUGUAGAUUUCGCAAUCCUUUAUAGAUUUCAACAAGUAAUUUCUCAUGCAUGUAAGCUCUCAUCGCAAACAAAAAGUUUUCCCCAAUUUUGUAAAUUUCUACUUCCAAAGUUAGAAGGUGAAUCAAAUCAAGUUCAAUUUUUUUCGCUAUAUGUCGAAGUAUCGAUUGACGCAAAAAGCUACAGUACACGCGAUUCGAAAAGGAACACCGCUGAAACAGAUCUAAUCAAACUCGGAUGAUAAUUUCAUGACGAUAUCAACUUACAUCUAAGAUUAGAACACACAUGAAUUAAUUACCAACCAUAAGGACAUGAACAGAUACACAUAAUACAGAAAACUACGGCAUUAACUAUGAAGAUCUCUGGACGAAAAUAAAAAUAGCAUAAGAAGAACAGAUCAGAGAAAAACAGGAUUUGAAGAUACUUACGGGAGAGAAAUGCAAUGAAGCGGAGGAAUCGAGGUUUAUGCAAAAUUGAGAAGGAGGGUUUAUUUAUAGAGAGGAGAAGGGGGUUGGAACUUGGAAGGUGGCGUUUGGCAUCUAUAGAGAGACGAAGAAUUGAGUUAAACCAAAUGAUACCCUAACUGCACAGACAAACUCGCCGCUUCUUUUUUUCUUUUUUUUUUUAAUUGUUUAAAAAGAGUUAAAUCUUUGUUUAUACUUUAUACAAAUAUAAGUUUUGUUUUUCCCUUUAAAUUAUAUAACAAAAAAUAAAAAGUUUUCAAAUAAACUAUUCAAUUAUAUUUCAUAUUAAUACUAAGGCUAUGUUUGGUGUACUGGCUGAAAAUAUAGUUGUUAGCUGAAAAGUUAACUGUUAAAUAAAAAACUACCUAAUAAAAAAUAAUAUUUGAUAAAACUAACUGAAAAGCUAGCUGAAAUAUAUAAAAUUAUAUAAAAGGAUGUAAGAGUAUGUGUUUCUAUAAUUAAUUAAGGGUGUAGUUGAGAAAUUUUAAAAAAAGCUCCUAAAAAGCAAUUCUAAGUAGUUUUUCAAAAAGUUAGCUUAUAAGUUACUUUUUGGCUUAUCAAACAUGAUAACAUAAAAACGCUCAAAAAAUAAGCUAGUUGUGGCGCGCCAAACACAACCUAAGUUACUCGAUGAUGGUACAUCGAAUCUCCAAUGUGGCCUGUGAGAGUGUUUUGACGUUGUAAACUUUUCAGACUCAAACAUCAUAUCUUUUCUAAACUUCUCGUUUCUGAAGACCAAUGAAUUCCGAUAAGUCCAAAACACUCAGAUUAAUGUUAAGCAAACCGUUUCGAGUAUCAAUUCUUUUUUAUUGUCUCUCAUUGUUGGCUGAUAUGGUAGCAUGAUGUUAAAAAUGCAUUCAUGAAUAUUGACCUGAUCAACAAUGUCCAAUUUAUAUUCAUUCCUCUUUUCUAAAACAUGUUAGUCGACUUAAAAAAGAUUUUUAUUGCCUCAAACAAGCAUCUCGUUGUUAGUAUCACCGGUUUGUUAUUUAUCUUUCUUCCUUACAUUUCCAUGGUAACAAAUUCGAUACUUCCAUUUUCAUGUUUCAUCACAGGCAUGACAUUAUCUAUCUACUUCUCCAUGUUAAUGACAUUAUUCUUAUUGCAUCAUUCACCAUGAUUAAGUUUUCAUCUCUUUCCUUUCAAUCAAAUUUACAAUUACUAACUUAUGUCAUCUCUUGUAUUUUAACCAAAUUAUGACCUCCCUCAAAUUCUAGACUCUUUCUUUCUUAAUAUGUGUUUUAUGGUAAUACAAAAACAUUUGAAUGUGCUCUCGUGCAAUCCUCAUAACACAUACAAACAUAAAAUCCACAUUUCCCUCUAACAGUAAACUACUUUCAAAUACAACUCUUUAUUGUAUCCCAUUUGGUGUUCCUAUUCGAAUCGAACUUUCCUCAUCCUGAAAUAACUUAUGUGGUCUACCAAGCUUGCGUCUAUAUGCAUGAUCCACGUCAGCACUAUAUGAAUGUGCUAAAAUGCAUCAUUUGCUAUCUUCAAGGCACUCUCAGGCAUUGUCUUCAACUUCAUCCGUGAGUGGUAUUUCGUUUGGUCUCUUACAUCGACAUAAAGUUAGUGGGAUGUCAUGAACACAUCGAUCUAUAUAUGUUUAUUGUGUCUUUCUUGAUGAUAACAAGUUGUCUCUUGUUUCGGUGUCAAAUUUGAAUGUUACGAUGUUGUCGUUGUAGAGGCUGUUUGGUUUCACAAUCUUCUUCUUUAACUUCUAAUCCCUUUGUCUUGUGCAACGAUAUUCUUUUGUGGUAUAUAUUGUAACCCAAACGAUAGGAACCUAUCAGUCGAGGUGCGAAAUUCCAUAUAGGAGUUCAAGGUUCAAACAUUGUUUUUCUAACAUAUCACUAGCGCUCCAUGAUUUAUCCCCCAUGUGAUUGGACCUGAGGUUGGUUUGGUCCUACAUGUAGGAAGUUCAAGUGGUACAAUUUAUUAUUUCUUUUUAAUUUUAAAAUUACAUGACCUUUGCCACAUUAGAGUUGUAGAUGUCGUGUCUUCUCACCAAUGUGCUCAUAUAUUAACGAAUGAGUUGCCCUCGAAGUAUAUAUUUUGAUUUUAGGUCUAGUUUGAACAUUUGGAAACUACAACUCGAACAAGAAGAUUUGUUAAAUAUAUAAUGUUUAGUAUUGCUUGUUUAUUUUGUAUAGACUUCAGGGGGUUAUAUGAAUUAUUGUCAUCUGUCAUAUAUUUUAUUGCAAUUUACCACAAACUCCAAGGUUUUAGUUUGUCUCCAUUCAAUAAGGAAUAAUUUGUUUAGAGAAAAAGAAUUGCUAAUAAAUAAAGUAAUAUUUAGUAGUCGAUCACAUUAAGCUCGUGACUACAGUUGGAUUCGUAUAAGGCUAUCUUUUGUUAUAUGAUACUUCGUGUUCAACAUUCUGUACUUGGUAUAAUAAAGAUCUAUAUCGCCUUAAAACUAAACUCGGAUCAAUUAUGCUCUUAUAUAACAUUAAUCUUUAUAAGUGUGCUUUUUCUUUUCAUACAACAGUUAUAUUGUUCCAUAAAAAUGUAACAUUUUUUGGUAAAAGGUUGUUGUUGUACUUUUUGUACAUUGGUAUCAUUGUAAUCGAGCUUUGAUGUUAGUUCCUAACAAAUUUUCAUUUAGUAUCUAAUAAUAUGCUUCACACAGCUAAUUAUUAUUAAUAUACUUUUACUAAAUUAAUUCAAUUGGAAGAACCAAAGACCCAAAGUCUAAAUUGAUCACAUAAGAGGUUUUUAUAGCUAAAAAAGGGCCCUACAAGUCUACAAAUGAUUGAGUGGCUCUUAGCCAUGACUAAUAGGUAUUCUUCAUUUCGUCUAUUCGUAACAAAGCCACCUUCUUUCUCACUCAAUUAAUACGUAAAGAAAUUUACUAAAAUAACUGGUGUUUCCUUUAAAUGAUUUUUUAUCAUAUAUAAAAAUAAAACUAUUUCAAAAAUAGCCAUGGUUUUCACAACUCUUACAAGAAAUUUGAUUUACUUUUUAAAAUACUUUUUUAUUUGUAUCAUAAUAUAAAGUUUUGGAAAACCCAUCGAUAUUUAGAUGCACAAUAGUUUUAAUGCAUAACUGAAAAUUUCAUUAAAACUGACUUUUUUACCUUUUUUAAAUUUCACAAAUUUCGCUUAUGUUUAUCAAGAUACAUAAACACUUUUAAAUAAGCUACUUCAUGUUAACUUUAUCAAUAAGUAGACCAUAUUAAAACAUAAUGCUCAUUACCAAAAUCCAAUACAUUUAAAAAUUAAACAUCCAACAAAACCAAAAAAACAUAAAGCAAAAAUUGCUUCCAAGUACUCAAUACACUAAUCUUUGUCUCCAAACAAAAACAAAUCCCAAAAAAAAAACAACCUAAAAAAUACGCACUGGCUUUCCCAUUGUUGUCUUCAAAUACAAACACCUCACCUGUUAUCAAUCAUCCAAACAACAACAAUUAGUUUCAAAAACUUUUUUUAAAAAAAAAAUAAAUUAUUAAAAAAGAGAACUCACAUUUUGCCAAUUUUUCUUCAACAAUGAAACAAGAAAGUUAACACUCAUUUGAACAUUCUGGAAAAUCUGCUUCUCUUCCAUGCUGCAGUUUCCAACAGCAACUCCCAUACACAAAACCUUCUUCAAUUGAAAUUUCACAGUUGCUUUUGUUUCAUUCACUUUUGCUUCAAGGGAUUCUUGAUGAGAAACAAGUGUUGGGAAUUUUCCUGAAUUUUUAAUACAAAAAUAAGUAAAAAAAAAAGAUUUCAUAUGUUAUAAAAAGUUUAAAACUAUGUUUAUAAAAAAAACUCUACCUGCUUUGUUAAGACCAGGGCCUAACAAACGAGGAAUCUGCUUAAUGACAGAUUCAGAAGCCAAAAAAGCUUGGUGCUUUUUUGCAAGCUUUUUCACAAGCUUCUUGUUCUUGUUCAGCUUCUUGAGCCCUUCAACAUCCAUGUAUUCAAGUCCAAUCUUUUGUGCCUAUACAAGUAUUCAAGAACAUGUUAAAUGAAACUUCAAAGAGAUUAAUUUGAGAUAAUGAGAGUUUAAUCUGAAAGAUUAGAAAGAACAAGGGCUUACCUCUUCAACAUGUUGGGCAUCUCCAAGCAUGCAAACUUUCAAUUUAGGCCUAGGAAUGUGAGGCAAUUUCACUGUUCCACUGAAACGUUUGUCCUUUUGUGGGUCGUAGUUCUUGAGUCCGAUUUGGAGUUCAAUGGUUUCAGUGAAAUUACGCUUCUUCUCUUUUGCAUCUGUGGUGAUUUGAGUAAUGGCUUCUCUUAGGGCUUCACUCUGAAGCUUACUGUGAAAUCAGAUAUUGAGAUAUUAAUUGUUGAAUUAGUUGUGAAUCAGCUGAAAUAUGUGAAUUAGUUUUGAAAUGAAGCGCAUUUAUAAGAAUCGGCAUAGAAACAGAGAGAAAAUAGUUUCAAUUUGAAGAGCAACACUAUAAAUCUCCUAUGGAUCCAGAAUAAUACACGUCUAUAGGAAUUGUUGAAUUAAAAGUUAAUAGAACUUACAGAAAGCAAACAUAAUCUUGAUUAAGCAAAUAAAAAUUUGAUUCGAUUAUUAAAAACUCGCAACAAAUGUUAAAAUCUCUGUAUAGCAUGAGUCGCAUAGAAGGUAAAAAGUUUUUGAAACAAGGAAAAACUCAAAUGGCUGAAUCUACACACAUACCUCAUGGUUGUUAACUGUUGCUGCCUUAAACUUCACUUCUGCACAGACAUAAAACAUAGUAUAAACUAUCAAUUUCAUCAUCAAUCGUAUACUACAUACAAACAUAAAAAAACCUAAACCGGUCAUCAAUCGUAUACUACAUAAUAUUUAUCAUCGUCUGCUCCAAAUGUACAAAGAAAUGGAGCAUACAAAAUCGAUUAUGAUAAGAUCAAGAUGCAAAUAACAGGAGAGAAUGAAAUUGAGAGGCUAAGGAAGAUCUUUACCUUCUGUUAGAACCCUAUCAGGGUAGCAGCAGUGCCGAAGAAGUUCAAAGGGAAACAGCGGCCGAGCUAUCCAAAUGAACUUAAUAUGGAGGCGAAACCCUAAUUGGGCCUGGGUUGUGGAAGUAUUCACUCUUCACUCGAAAUCAUAUUAUUGGGCCGGAAGCCCGGAAUCUAAUACUUAUCGGCCCAAUUUCUUUUAUAUCAAUUUGUUCAUUAUACUCUUUCUAGGUUGAUGUGUAGGUUGAUGUAUAUUGUAGGAUAGAUAGCUUAUUGGUCGAUUCGAUCAGGUUUCGGAUUUUAUUGGUUGCGUUUCUUAUUAUUAGUCGGGCUAAAUAUAAAAUUGUUGCAUUUUAACAAGGACUUUAUUGUUGCAAUCUUUUAGUAGUUCAAAACAAAGUACAAUAGGUUAGUGAUGUGUUUGCAAUUGGUUGGGUUAUUAAAGACUUAGGGAUGAACAAUUUUUUCCAAAUCACGAUCUCGUACCGAUAACAUACUGAAACCGGUAUCAAACCGUACCGAAUUUAAAAAUAUGGGACGGUACUUGGUACUCUAAAUACACAAAAUUCAGGAUUCGGUAUGUCGGUACCGGUACUAGUACCAUGUAUCAUCCAUCAAAGAGUAUACUCGACAUUUAAGAUGUAUUGGUGUGAAAUAUUGAGCUUGUAAUUCAUCAAAGAGUGUACUCGACAAUGACAAUUUAGCACAAACUCUUUUCAUUGAUUUAUACUCAAACCUUAACGGAUAAAAGAGGAACAAUGACUUGUUGAGUUGUUUCUUUGACUCCAAUUAAAUGGGAGUGCCACCAAGUAAAAUAAAAUACUUAUUAAUAGAUCUGCAAGAUAUAAGGCAUACAGCCCAAUGAGGACCAUAAUAGGCUUCCAAGUUUAAAGUAGACUGAUUGUUGAAGAAUAUACCUUAAGAAAGUGUACCCUUCAUAUAUCUUAAAACAUACAAGGUUGCAUUGCAAUGAGAUUAACAAGAUUUUUUUAUAUUAAAUUGGCUCAAAUGUUAGAUAUCAUAGGAAAAGUCCAACCUGGUAUGCAUAAGAAAGUGAAGCUUAUUAAUAAGUUAUAUGUAUGAAGUUGAUUUAGUGAGAGGAUCUGACAUGGAUGUUGUUAAAUGAACUUUAGAUUGAUGAGGAAUAGAGAAAAUAGAUACAUUUGUCAUAGAAUAUAAAUGAAGUAACUCGUGGAUGAACUUAUUGAUGUACAAGUUGUAACCCAUUUUUCCAAGUAUGUUAUGUAUUUAUCUUAAUGAAAUACGAUUUUGGUUUUGGUUGGCAUUGCGAUACGACAAGGUGUUGGUUUCAACGCAUGACAAAUGUAUUAGUCACGAUGCAACCUUAUGUGGGUUACAACGCGUGGCCACCACAACCCAAAACCCCAGGUCUCGGCUUUUUGACCUUGUUUAAAGGCUCUAACUUUUAGGAUUUUCUCAUUCAUCCAUCCUCCAUCUCUCGGAAAUCAUAUAGCUUAAACCCUAUCCUCUUAUCCUCAUUUUAAGUGUUCUUGGUGCUUUUGGUGUGAUGUUAAAGAAGAAGUAAGUGAUUUUGUACACUAGAAUCUAGAUCCAAAAGAGUUUAAGCUUCAUUGUUAUAUAUAUUGUGCUCUAUAAGUAUUCAAGUUUGAAUAUUUAUCAUAUUUUGCUUAUAUAAUAUGCAUUUUAGGCUCAUUAUUAGGUCUUUAUUUCUUGUAUUCCUUUUUACUUGUAUCCUUGUUGGAGUUUGGAGAACUCCAAGUGUAGCGNCUCUUUGAGCCACGCAAGAAGGUUCUAGCCUUUUUGGGCUUGUUUUAGAUUUAGGGUUGGAGUUUAUUAUUUUAAAGGCUUGCAUGUUAGGAAAUUUGAUAUUUUUAUCCAUUAACAACUUCUUUAAAAUCUUUCUAGAAAGUUGUAGCAUCUGGCUUGGUAGGAAAUAUUAUAUUUACGAUUACUUUAUAUGCAUUGUUUAUUAAAUUAUAUUCCUACACAAUAUAUGCAUUGUUAUUUACAUUAUAAUAACAUGAAACAUUAUAUUUACGAUUACUUUACACAACAAUUUUAAUGGACCAAUAUACAGUCGAAGCUCUCCAUUUUAGUUUGCUUAUUUCCAAGCAAUGUAGCAUAUAUCCACACCAAUCAACUGUCUUUCAGUCAAGAACUUUUAUUAGCUUUCUAACAAAAGCAAUAUUUGAUGAUCCAUUCAAUCAUGAUCCCGCAAAGGUGUUCAUGAACUACGUAAUUAAAUUUACUCAGAAGGUGUUGCUUGCUUUACCUAUUGCUCUUAUAUUUUAAGGUAAUUCUCGUUAUUGAGUUUUUCCUCGUAUUUUUUUUUUUACAUUCGUGAUAUUUACCAUCAACGAUAUCACAAUCAGAAAGUGUUUUGAAAUCUAUAUUUCCUAAUGGUAAUCCUAGCAUUGCAUUUAUUGUUUCCUGGUCUAUAUGUAAACACUCACUUUCCACCCUUAUAGAAAAUAUUUCUUCAUCGAACUUAUUCACCAAGUAAUAAGCUAGCUACAAUGGUAAUGUUGUCAUUUGAAUGUUCAACAACCCUAAAAAACCAAUAUUUAUUAACAUUUUAUUUGUUAAACGGAUAAUGACUUCAUUGUUAGGUACAAUGAGUUUGGUAACAUCUGUUGUUUAUCUUGCUAAACUCAUCAUCCACUUUCUUGUAAGCAUCUACUGUGUUAUUGGUUUUACUUUUCUUUAAAUAUCUCUUAAUUAGUCUCUUUCUUCUUCAUCCACAAGUUUUCUACUUUCAGAUCCUUCGUGUAUUUUCUUUCUCUUUAUUUGUUCUUCCUCAUGAAAGACAACCCUCUUGUUUUUUCCCUACAAUUUUCAAAGAAAGAAAGUAUGUAAAUUUAGCAAUCGGGGUCCUAAUUUUAUUUGAUUAGUAUUCAUAUUUCAGUAUUAUUCUAAAUAUAAUUCAGCCAAACCGUGUUAUCCUCAUUAAUUUAUAUCAUUUCAUUUUACAUUCGCAUUCUUGAAUUUUUUUUAUGGUUCAAGGUCAUAAAUUUCUCAAAAAACAAACAUAAUAAAAUACAUUGAAUGAGCUACGUCAAACAUAAAGAAACUAUAACGGUACCUUCUUCGUGUGGUUCAUUUACAAAGUCGUCGCCAUCUAUGCAGAUUGGUGAGGUAUUCUUGUUAGAAAAUUUGCUUAUGAACAUUUUGUUUUUCAAUAUUGAACUGCCCGUUCUGCUUUGCAAAAUUGGUCAUUGUAGUUUGCAAAAAAAAAGGAUGAUGUCCAAAAAGUUCUUAACUUGCAUGGAAGGUCCAAAAUUAGGAUUUUUUUGUGAAUUUUGUCCUAAAAUUAAGAAUUUCCCAUGAAAUAGGUCCCUGAUGAAUGUAAAAAAGACAAAUUUUCCUUUCAUUUCUUUUUUCCCUUUUUUAUUUAUAAUUUAUUAUUUUAAUGAAUAAGAAUUAACGAAAUCCACCUACCCCCUUUCUACACCAACCCAUCGUACGCCUUCUCUAUCACACACAUCGGGAAAAAACCCACUUCCUCAUUUUCUUCUUCAUCGCAUCACCUGCAAAUAAAUAAAAUAAAAUAAAAUAACCUUGUUCUUGCUUCCUUCUUCUUCUUCAUUUCCGGCUACUGAUUCUGACAACCACUCUUUUUCGGUUAAGAGUCUCCUAAACUUCUGCCAGUAAGUUCUUGAAACAUUCAAAAAUUAUGACCCAAAAAUUUCAUUUUUGAUUUAAGCAAAACAAUAUUUCAAAACAUUGUUUAUACAUCUCGAUCAAAUAAUAUGUCAAACAACAUCAAAAUUAGAGUGUCCCAUAAACAGAAUCCAUAUGGUGUGUGCGACACAGUCAACCUGAGCUCUUCUCCUUGGAACCGGAAGUACCUGCAACAUAAACUAAAAGCCAUAAACACAAAACUUAGUGAGUUCCUCAAAGUACUGCAUACCAUACACACAAUAAACAUAUAUUGGGUCCCGCCCUGUCUUCGGGCCUCGUUCGGAAUCGAGCCCCUCCCGACAUCGGCCCCCACCCGGCAUUGAGCCCCGCUCGGUAAUAGAUCGGGCCCCGCCCAACAUACAUAGAACAUAUAUCAAAUAAUCACAUACACAUGCAAUAACCAUAGAGAUACAUAGCAUACAAUGGUCAUCGGACCCCGCCCAGAAAGCAUAUAAACACAUCACACAUGCAAGAGUCACACAGACAGCUAGCAUAAACAUGGGCCAACAUUGGUGCCUUCGACCCGCUAAACCUGGUGAGGAAAACUCACCUCAAAAAGUCGAAUAAAACGAGUGAUCCUGACUGCUGGUCCUACAGCUCCCCGAGCUAUCAAUUGCCACAUAAAAACUAAUUAACAUUUGAGAUCUACAUCAUAACCAAAAAUCUCUACUUGGGGUAAAAAGAACAUUUUACCCCUAAUCUAGCUUGGUCCAAGAAUGAAGCCCGUAACUACAAUCCAGUGGGCCCAAAAGUUAAACAAUCCAUCAAGGCCCAAAAUACGGCCUAAUUUCCAAUUGGGCCCAACUCCUUCACAUGGGACUUAGUCCAAGACCCAAUAACAUACUUGGCCCAAAAACUACCAAAAUCAGAUGGCCCAACUAACCAUUUUAGCUAAAAUACCACGUAAAGUUGCUAACUUUACGUCCAUGAAUAACCAUAAGAAGAUCUAAAGCUAAAAAAGGACCUAAUGAAGGACUUAAUGGAUGCAUGAAGCCCCUAAACUCCAUAAAGUUGACACAUUUAUGCCAAAGGAGUCCAUGAAGACCUUAGAUCUGAAGGAAUAAGCCUUUAGAACGUCCUAAUCCUAACAUCCAUCCAAACCAUGGCUAAAAACAUAACUAUUUAACCAAUAAGAAGAUCUAAACAUCUAGCAACCAAGAUAAGAACUUGAUACCUCAAACUUAUUAAAAAUUGGUAGAGGUUUUGGAUCCAAGACCUCCUUUUAAGGCUAAGCAACUUCUAUCUUCUUCAACUCCUUCAAGAUGCACAAAAUGAACACCGAAAGCUCUCUAAAAGCUCACACACUUAACAAUGGAAGAUAUGACUCGAUUUUAGGGUUUCUGGACAUAAGAGGCUGAUAAGGAGUCUAACAGUUAGGACCUAAUGAUAUCAUAUAGGAUUUGCACCCUAAAAUUAGGGUUUUUUUUUGGUCUGACCACGUAAGUUGUGCGUACCACCUUGUAUGUUGCACAUACGUGCAUGCCUCCGCGAUCCUUUUGAUUCAUCUACGCCCCGUGUACACCAGUGUGACAUCCCCAUUUUCAAGUCCAGAAAAGACCGAUUUUUGUUUAUGCUUUAUAAAAAUCAGAGUGAUUCUUUUAAUAAAAAUGUUGCGAAAUUUGUUCCCAGUAAAACAUGAUAAAUACGUUAUCAAAGCAUUUCCGAUGAAAUAUAUUUUUAUUCAUUUUAAAACAUUUCGGAUGUCAUCGUCAAUACAGAAACAUAAGCAUAAACAUAACUUACAUUCAUUUACACUAGUGAUCUACAUCUCUUUAAUCUCUCAGUGUAAUGUGACUUCAUAUCAACACCUAUGAUAUAAAUAAACCGAGUGAGUCUGGUUGGGAAACCUGGUGAGUACAUAAGGAUUUCAAUCACAUAAUGUUAUAUCAUAUAUAUAAUUUAGAACUCACAAAAUAUACAAUUUCCCCAUAUAUACAUAAGCAACUCUUACCCCGCCCCGUUAAUCCUUACAACAAGACUAUCCAUACUCUCGGACCUUAAAUUUUACCUCUUACUUAAUGUGACAUCCCCAUUUUCACGGCCAGAAAAGACCGAUGUUGAUUAUGCUUUAUAAAAAUCAGAGUACUUCAUUUUAUAAAAAUGUUGCGGAAUUUGUUCCCAGAAAAACAUGGUAAAUACGUUAUUAAAACAUUUUCGAAGAAACGUAUUUAUUUCAUUUUAAAACGUUUGGGAUGUCAUCGUUAAUACAAAAACAUAAGCAUAAACAGAACUUACAAUUAUUUACACUAGUGAUCUACAUCUCUUUAAAUCUCUCAGUGUAGUGUCACUUCAUAUCAACACCUGUGAUAUAAAUAAACUGAGUGGGUCAGGUUGGGAAACCUGGUGAGUACAUAGGGUUUUCAACCCACAAUAAUAUAAUUAUUAUGUUUAAACAAUCAAAUAAUCAACCCAAUUACCCAUCCCCAUUAUCUUCUUUAUUCUUAAGGAUCUACCCUAAGAAUCAGCUAUUUCUCAUUCAUUCAUUCCUAAGGAUCAUCCUAAGGAAACAACAUGAAGUCCAUUGUUGCCAAUGACACAUUGGUCAAGCGCAGCUGCUAAUCUUGUCACUUAGGCACAGCUGCCAGAAUUGGGACAUUUCCUAUGAGGCGCUUCUGCCGGUAUUGACCUUUUAACGCCACUGUCAUGGUCAUAAGGCUCCCUAUUAGGCACAGCUGUUGAUACUGUCCUUAGAGCGCAGCUGCUAGGACGUUUACCGUAGAUCUAAAACAUCUACGGGUUGUGGCGCAGCUGCCAGUGCUCAUCUAUAGGGUACUUGGUCCACUGCUGCCAAUGUAUUACCUAUAGGGCACUAGGUCCGUACUACUAAUGUUCCUCUAUUUCAGCUUUUAUCCCUCAUCAUUCAUCUACCCAUGUUUUACGCAACAUAUUUUGUAGAUAUAAAAUACUUUAUACAGUUUACAUCAUUUAAAACAUGUAUAAAAAUCUUUCACCAGCAUAGACAGCAAGUAUUAAGACAAUAUGCACACAUAACACGUAAUUUAUAUUAAAAUACUUCAUAUCUAUGUGUAAGAUGAAAGGGACCAUGCACUCACUUGAGAAGGUGGUGACUCGGUACUCGGACAGCGCUUCGUUUACUUUAAAAUAAUUUCCUUCGACGAAACCUAGUAUUAUUACCACUAGAUUUUAGUCUAAGAUUUACCGUGACUAAUUAUUAGUCUUAUUAUUAUUAUUAUAUAAGCGUUUAAACAAUACUUUCCAACCACUAUGUACAGACAGGGGCCAGACAUAAAACACCGGAGGGCAGGACCAUUUUGGCAUAUAGCACUUCUGAAAUCCAACAACCCUAUGCGGCCCUUUAAACCAGAUUCCCCGUACCGCGAGUAGUUAAAAAGAUAUUAUAACGACACUUAUAUAAGUCAUAAUAAUAGCUCAAAUAUUUAUUAUAAAUUUAUAAUAACAAUACUAAUUUUAAAUAUAAACUAUAUUUAAAAUAGGGUAAGCAUAACUUACUUACAAGGGGAUUUUAGCUAGGAGUCGGGCUCUGUAGGGGCAGAACUUCGUCGCUGAAUCUUUCUAAGAAAGAUUCGUGCAGCGCUUCAGCGCUCACCUUACUAUACUAAAACUACAGAAAGAGAAGUCGAAUCACGAGGGACCGAAAUGCUCGGGGGAUAAGGAGAGAAAGACUCUUGAAUCAAGAGAAUGGUGCAAGAAAUAUGAGAGCCCAAGCCUCUUAUUUAUAGUAAUUGAAUUUACAAAAACUACCCCCCAUAAUUACUUAAUGACCUUAUAGUUAUAUAAACAACUAAACACCCCUUUAUAAUACUAUUUUAAAUAGAUUUAAAGAUAUUUGUACUAAACUAAUGUCGAAAGAACUCAACAUUAGUCUUAUAAUGACCGCAUCGUCGAUACCUUUCUAAUGAUAUAUACAUAUGUAUAUAUAUGUGUACGUAUAUAUGAUUUAUACUUUAUUUUAAUACGUAAAUAUGCUAUUAUAAUUUGUAACUCGUUCAUACGAACUCCGUUUUUGACGUUAUUUAUAUCCACGCGUAGGUGGAGACGUACUCUACAACUUUCGUUUAGACUCCGUCGGCUAAUUUUGACUUUAUUUUUAAAGUUAUAUUUUUAACAGGUCGGGACAGGAUUGGUCCGUUAAAAUCUCAUAACUUCUUCAUCCGAUGUCCAUUUUCGUCUGUCUUUUUAUUGUUACACUACUAAUAAUGAGAUCUUCAAUUCUCGUUUAGGUUGUGUCGGCUAAAAAUCGCUCGAUCUAAUAUUCGAAUUUCGGACUGUACACUACUAAUCCGAAACUUCGAAAAAUCGUAACUUCUUCAUACGAAGUCAGAUUUGGGCGUUCUUUUUAUCGAAGUUCUUAGUUUAACAUAUUCUACGACUUUCGUUUAGAGCGCUAAAUCUAAAUCUCGCUCUAUCAUAAAUUUACUAUUUACGCUUCUCGGCGCCGUGCCGGUUCCGACGCGAAACUUCGACGGGUCAUAACUUCUUCGUUAUAACUCGGAUUUCGGCGUUCUUUAUAUGUACGGAAACCCUGUGACAUAUUCUACAACUUGGUUAAGAUUAUUUAUUCUAAACAAUCUUUUUGUCAAAAAGUCGUUUUCGACCCCUAUUGCCUCUAAAUUGACUAGCCCGGAUCUGCGGGCGUUACACUUAACCCAUAAUCUCGGAUCUAAUUCCUGCUCUCGGAUUAAUAAUUGUGCCCAUUCCAUACUCUCGGAUUGGGGACAAGUAUCUAUGUGUAAAUCCAUUCUCCCGGAUUAACGACGAAUAACUAUGUCCUAUCCAUACUCCCGGACUGAGGACGACUGACUAUAUCUUAAUCUAUACUCCCAGACUAAGGACAAUUGACUAUGUCUUAAUCCAUGCUCCCGGAUUAAUGACAGUUGACUAUGUCCAAUCCAUACUCUCAGACUAUGGACAAUGAUUGUGUCUGAUCCAUGCUCCCGGAUCAAUGACAUAUACUAAAGUUCUAUUCUUUGAGUAUAACUCACUUAUAC
rnacentral:lncRNA from 1 species